UACGGAGGGGGCUAGCGUUGUUCGGAAUUACUGGGUGUAAAGCGCACGUAGGCGGCUUUGCAAGUCAGAGGUGAAAGCCCGGGGCUCAACCCCGGAAUUGCCUUUGAGACUGCAUCGCUAGAAUUGUGGAGAGGUAAGUGGAAUUCCGAGUGUAGAGGUGAAAUUCGUAGAUAUUCGGAAGAACACCAGUGGCGAAGGCGACUUACUGGACACAUAUUGACGCUGAGGUGCGAAAGCGUGGGGAGCAAACAGG
rnacentral:rRNA from 1 species